GGGCCCGCACAAGCGGUGGAGCAUGUGGUUUAAUUCGAUGAUACGCGAGGAACCUUACCAGGGCUUAAAUGUAGUGGGACAGGUCUAGAGAUAGACCUUUCUUCGGACUCAUUACAAGGUGCUGCAUGGUUGUCGUCAGCUCGUGCCGUGAGGUGUCAGGUUAAGUCCUAUAACGAGCGCAACCCCUAUCGUUAGUUGCCAGCGGGUCAUGCCGGGAACUCUAGCGAAACUGCCGGUGCAAACCGAGAGGAAGGUGGGGAUGACGUCAAAUCAUCACGGCCCUUACGUCCUGGGCCACACACGUGCUACAAUGGCCGGUACAGAGAGCAGCCACUACGCGAGUAGGAGCGAAUCUACAAAACCGGUCUCAGUUCGGAUCGGAGUCUGCAACUCGACUCCGUGAAGCUGGAAUC
rnacentral:rRNA from 1 species